GGUUUCCGUAGGUGAACCUGCGGAAGGAUCAUUAACGAAUUUGAUUUUUUCAUUCAUUUUUGUGAACUUUUGUUUAUUUUGCUUUGGUGACUUUCGAGUCGCCAAAAGAAAAACUUUAUAACCAUUUGUCUAAAACUAAAAGAUUUUAAUUAAAUUAAAACUUUCAGCAACGGAUCUCUUGGUUCUCGCAUCGAUGAAGAACGCAGCGAAAUGCGAUACGUAAUGUGAAUUGCAGAAUUUUGUGAAUCAUCGAAUCUUUGAACGCACAUUGCACCUUUUGGUAUUCCAGAAGGUAUGCCUGUUUGAGCGUCAUUUCUCUCUCACUAACGUGGUUUUGUUGUAUCUUUCCCUGGAAAGUGCAAUGAAAGGAAAUGGCAGUGCUCUUGAGUGGUACUCGGUGUUUUUAGGUUUUACCAACUAGCACAGACCCUCUCAAAAUGAGUCGGCUUGAUAACUCUUUCAAUGUUGACCUCAAAUCAGGUAAGACUACCCGCUGAACUUAAGCAUAU
rnacentral:rRNA from 1 species